UGAGGAUAUAGCUCAGUUGGUAGAGUGCUUGCCUUUCAUGCACAAGGCCCUGGGUUCAAUUCCCAGUACCACAA
rnacentral:tRNA from 1 species